AUACGGAGGGUGCAAGCGUUAAUCGGAAUUACUGGGCGUAAAGCGUACGUAGGCGGUUCGUUAAGUUAGAUGUGAAAGCCCCGGGCUUAACCUGGGAACUGCAUUUAAAACUGGCGAACUAGAGUUGAGUAGAGGGGAGUGGAAUUUCAGGUGUAGCGGUGAAAUGCGUAGAGAUCUGAAGGAACUCCAGUGGCGAAGGCGACUCCCUGGACUCGAACUGACGCUGAGGUACGAAAGCGUGGGUAGCAAACGGGAUUAGAAACCCUAGUAGUCC
rnacentral:rRNA from 1 species